AAUGCUAUUUAAAAUAUGAUAAUCAUGCUUGUCUUUUGCCUAUUCCGAAACAGAAGCCUACACCAACAAUUACCACAUGGAAACCACUUAAUUAAUAAGUACGAAAAGAAAUGAAAUAAAAAGCGAAUCUGCAUAUUGGAAAAGAAAAAGUCAUAAAGUUUCUAUCUCCCUCAACCAUAAACCUCUUUCUAUCCUUCUCUCUUACAAACCAUUUUGAACAUGAACCCUUCUUCCAAAACUAGAUCAAACACAAUAAAGCCUUGAAUAACAUUUGGGAAUACCAAUCAAGAACCCUUGAAUGUUCUUGAGCGAUUUUCCGGAAGUUCGUCAACCUAACAUUACCCUAAAUCGAAUCAUAAACGAGAUUCGACCAACAAUCAUAACCGAUCGGAAUCCAUGGUGAUGAAACACACUUUCUCAAUUUUAAACCUAAACCUUAGAUUGUCGCCUCAAACACUUUUUAAAAUUGGAGUCAAAACUCACAUUCUUAGAAAUGAAAACAAACCAUUCAACAACGAAAAGAAUGAAAGUAAAGCAACAGUUAUCACUACACAUCAAAACAAACUCAAAUGCCCAAAGAGUUAAAGACAAAACGUUUAAACCAACCGGAUCUGCAGUGUAUAAGGUAUAUUCUCUCGUUUCACUUCGCCUUGCUUCCUCCUUGUCUUAAUUUCUGUGUUCGAUGUGCUCCUUAUCAGGGUCUUAGCUCGGAUUACUCAAAGUUCUAAGGAUAAACUUUGAGCACCCAUUUGAUAUAUUUGAGCUUUGGUGUGAAGGUUGGGAUGCGGUUUCAGCAGAGUGACGGUGCUUUUUCCUUUUUCAAUGAUCGAAGGUCUCUUAUAUAGAGAGGAGAUAAAAUGGUCCCUCAUUCAUCCGCUGGCAGGAGAGAAACGCGUCCGUCCGUUAGAAUAACAUCCUCCCUCAGAUUUUGUGUGGUCCUCAUAUCAAUUUGUUGGUUAGAAGGUCUCUCCAGGUAAGUGGUCCCUCUUAUGGAAUCUUUUGUUAAGUUAUUACCACAGUGAAUUCAACUCUCCCUUUUUACUGUUAGGUAACAUUCUUUGUUCAAUCACGUAUUGCUGAAUGGAUUAAUCAUGUACGGUUUUUUAUAGUUCAUUUGCUCAGGGUAUGGUGUGUUUGCUUGCGUGGGAUCUACAAUUGGCAUCUUGGUAUUUUAGCAGCUUACCUUCCCUUGAGUAUUUGGCUAUGGAUGUUUAGGUAAUGAAUUGGAAAUCUGUUGUAGGUUCUUAUGCAAUGCCUUGAUUGGAGCAGCUUGUGCUUUGGCUAGGUUUUAGUCUCGUAACAUUUUGCUGCCAAUGAUAUGUUCUUCCUAUUGUCUUUUCAAGGUAUUGCUAGAGGAUAUGGUUGGCAGAAGUUGGAAGCACAUGUGAAUCUAGGAGCUUUUCAUCCUGAUCAUAUCAGUACACCAUACGCAACUCAUAGUCGCGAAUUAUCCUCCUUUUAUUUCCAGGAUCUUGGGGAUUGGCUUUUCUCUAUGUACACCCACAAUUGCUUUACAAUCUUAAUCCUUGUCGUUGACGGCUGACCAAAGGUGACUUGAAGUUCGGAUGAUAUCCCACAAAGUGUGUUGAGACCUCCUGGGCCAGUCAGCGGAAAUUGCAGUAACAGGUUGCAUUAUGUGCCCCUUGGUGCUUUAUCUUGGUGUACUUGGAUUAGUGCUCAUAUUAUUGGCGUGUCACUCCUAACUCUUGGAUCCAUAGGCCAUUGCAUUCCGCGAGGGAGUAUCUUAUAACGUCCUUGGAAACCAAUGCCAAUGGGGCCUUAGCAACUGUUAUGUCCAACUGAUAUGUUAUUUCAGUUUUGGAAUCCUAUUUCUUUCCUUUAUCUUGGUUGUAACAUUUAUUUGGAAACUAGGAUUGCUUGUAACCGUCGUCAUGAUGUGUUUCUGUUAAUGGCAAUUGAUACAAUUAUGUUUGUAAAAAUCCAAAAUUUGUUCAGCUAAUGUAAUUCUACAUUGAUA